CAGCCAAUUGACAAAGGCAGAGCAGAUACUGGUUGUUGCAUGGUAGAGAUGAAUUAAUGAAGGGCGGGCAAGAGACACAGCUGCAGAGGACGAGCCGGGUGCAGGAAGAGAACAUUAACGCUCCAGUUGCUAGAUGGUUUGUGGAUGUGAUGGAUAUGUUCUGCUUGUUACUAAGUAGAGAAAAGCAUCUAACAAGACCUUAGAGUUCUCUGACCAGGGAUCGAACCUGUGGCCUUUGCACUGGAAGCACGGAGUCUGAACCACUGAAUCGCCAAAGAAGUCCCCAGCAAGGAGAGGAGGAUUCUUGAUAAGUGAGGAGAUACCCCUCGACCAUGGUGAGGAGCAAUGGCUGCGCUUUGCUGGAGCAGCCGUGAAGAGAUACCGCACGCCAAAGCCUCCCUGUCUCCCUCCGACAACCCGCAAUGGCACAGACCGACAUGGAGCCCGCUGGAAAAGCAGAGAGGUGGUUUGAAGUGUUCCAGCUCCAGCAUCACAAAGCCAAAUAGCAAAGAGUCAAUUUGGCGCUGAAAUACAAGAGAUACAACAGAU
ensembl:lncRNA